rnacentral:rRNA from 1 species
AGUGAACGCUGGCGGUAGGCCUAACGCAUGCAAGUCGAACGGCAGCACAGGAGAGCUUGCUCUCUGGGUGGCGAGUGGCGGACGGGUGAGGAAUACAUCGGAAUCUACUCUGUCGUGGGGGAUAACGUAGGGAAACUUACGCUAAUACCGCAUACGACCUACGGGUGAAAGCAGGGGACCUUCGGGCCUUGCGCGAUUGAAUGAGCCGAUGUCGGAUUAGCUAGUUGGCGGGGUAAAGGCCCACCAAGGGGACGAUACGUAGCUGGUCUGGGUGGAUGAUCAGCCACCCGGGAACUGCGACACGGUCCAGACUCCUACGGGGGGCAGCAGUGGGGAAUAUUGGACAAUGGGCGCAAGCCUGAUCCAGCCAUACCGCGUGGGUGCAGAAGGCCUUCGGGUUGUAAAGCCCUUUUGUUGGGAAAGAAAUCCAGCUGGCUAAUACCCGGUUGGGAUGACGGUACCCAAAGAAUAAGCACCGGCUAACUUCGUGCCAGCCGCCGCCGUAA